AUACGUAGGUGGCAAGCGUUAUCCGGAUUUACUGGGUGUAAAGGGCGUGUAGGCGGGAGUGCAAGUCAGAUGUGAAAACUAUGGGCUCAACCCAUAGCCUGCAUUUGAAACUGUACUUCUUGAGUGAUGGAGAGGCAGGCGGAAUUUCCCGUGUAGCGGUGAAAUGCGGAGAUAUAGGGAGGAACCCCGGUGGCGAAGGCAGCCUGCUGGAGAUUAGCUGAGGCGGAGGCGGGAAAGGGUGGGGAGCAAACAGGAUUAGAUACCCGGGUAGUCCACGCCGUAAACGAUGGAUACUAGGUGUGGGGGGUCUGACCCCCUCCGUGCCGCAGUUAACACAAUAAGUAUUCCGCCUGGGGAGUACGGCCGCAAGGUUGAAACUCAAAGGAAUUGACGGGG
rnacentral:rRNA from 1 species